UACAGAGGGUGCGAGCGUUGUCCGGAAUCACUGGGCGUAAAGGGCGCGUAGGCGGCCCGGUAAGUAGGGGGUGAAAUCCUGCGGCUCAACCGCAGGGCUGCCUUCUAAACUGUCGGGCUGGAGCACGGUAGAGGCUGGUGGAAUUCCCGGUGUAGCGGUGGAAUGCGUAGAGAUCGGGAAGAACAUCGGUGGCGAAGGCGGCCAGCUGGGCCGUUGCUGACGCUGAGGCGCGACAGCGUGGGGAGCAAACAGG
rnacentral:rRNA from 1 species